rnacentral:rRNA from 1 species
AUUGAACGCUGGCGGCAGGCCUAACACAUGCAAGUCGAACGAUUGGCGGACGGGUGAGUAAUUUCUUGGAAACUGCCCGAUGGAGGGCGAUAACUACUGGAAACGUUAGCUAAUACCUCUUACCAUCGUAUGUGCCCAGAUGGGUUUAGCUAGUAGGUGGGGUAACGGCUCACCUAGGCGACGUGCCCUAUCUGGUCUGAGAGGAUGACCAGCCACACUGGAACUGAGACACGGUCCAGACUCCUACGGGAGGCAGCAGUGGGGAAUAGUGCACAAUGGGCGCAAGCCUGAUGCAGCCAUGCCGCGUGUAUGAAGAAGGCCUUCGGGUUGUAAAGUACUUUCAGCGAGGAGGCGUUAAUCGAAGAAGAAGCACCGGCUAACUCCGUGCCAGCAGCCGCGGUAAUUG